CCUACGGGGGGCAGCAGUGGGGGAUAUUGCACAAUGGGGGAAACCCUGAUGCAGCAACGCCGCGUGGGUGAAGGAGCGUUUCGGCGCGUAAAGCCCUGUCAGCGGGGAAGAAGAAAGACGGUACCCGACCAAGAAGCCCCGGCUAACUACGUGCCAGCAGCCGCGGUAAUACGUAGGGGGCGAGCGUUAUCCGGAAUUACUGGGUGUAAAGGGAGCGUAGACGGCGAGGUAAGCCUGAAGUGGAAGCCCGCGGCCCAACCGCGGAACUGCUUUGGGAACUGUUUUGCUGGAGUAUGGGAGGGGUAAGCGGAAUUCCUGGUGUAGCGGUGAAAUGCGUAGAUAUCGAGAGGAACACUCGUGGCGAAGGCGGGUUCCUGGACAUUAACUGACGCUGAGGCACGAAGGCCAGGGGAGCGAAAGGGAUUAGAUACCCUGGUAGUC
rnacentral:rRNA from 1 species